AAUUUCUCUGAUGUAAAGAAAAAUUCCAACAGGUCUUAAAAAGAAAGCUUUAUAUAAAAAGAAAGAAAAAGACAUAAAAUAUGGUCUCUGUAUUAAGAUGACAACAUACAGGGUCAAUUGCUUAAAAGAAAUAUGAAUAAACAGCCUUAUCCAAAAAGAA